CCUAAGGACAAGGCAGGUUGCCCACGCGAAAACACGUAGAGUGUGAACCCCGGGAGGACAUCUUCUGCCCUCUGCCCCUGAUCCGGGCGUUCCCAGCGCCGCGCUUUCCGCGGGGCUUUCGACGAGCACCGGGCACCGGACUGGGCUCCGCCGGGGGCGGUGGGGCACCGCGCUCCCCGCAAGGAGCCGCGCUGGGAGAAAUACAGAUGCAAAAGCAGGACGUGGGUAAAUGAGAGAAGAUAAGGUAUUGCUCCUGCAAGCAGAACAUCCUGUCUUCAAAAUGGGUGAAGGACAACUGUCUCCACUGAUGCUUCCUUAGAGGAUCCUGGACAAAGCAACACAGAGAGAUUCUACAGAGGGAAAGCCAGCACCUACAAUGCUUGUGAAGGGAGUGGGUAAAACCACAGACCGUGGAAUUUGGGCUUUCUGAUGCAGAUGGAAUCCAGAUUGAUGAGAAGAUGAGAAGCAGGCACUCCAAUCAUGUACAGCCUG